rnacentral:rRNA from 1 species
UGGAUAGGAAGUUUUAAGGCAUCUUGAAACUUUUAAAAGACCCGCAAGGGUAUGCUGAGAGAUGGGCUUGCGGCACAUUAGUUAGUUGGUAAGGUAACGGCUUACCAAGACCAUGAUGUGUAGCUGGACUGAGAGGUUGAACGGCCACAUUGGGACUGAGAUACGGCCCAAACUCCUACGGGAGGCAGCAGUAAGGAAUUUUCGGCAAUGGAGGAAACUCUGACCGAGCAACGCCGCGUGAACGAUGAAGUAUUUAGGUAUGUAAAGUUCUUUUAUUAAAGAAGAAAAAAUGAUGGAAAAAUCAUUCUGACGGUAUUUAAUGAAUAAGCCCCGGCUAACUAUGUGCCAGCAGCUGCGGUAAUACAUGGGGGGCAAGCGUUAUCCGGAUUUAUUGGGCGUAAAGGGUGCGUAGGCGGUUUAAUAAGUCUAUGGUCUAAGUUCAACGCUUAACGUUGUGAUGCUAUAGAAACUGUUUGACUAGAGUUGGAUAGAGGCAAGUGGAAUUCCAUGUGUAGCGGUAAAAUGCGUAAAGAUAUGGAGGAACACCAGUAGCGAAGGCGGCUUGCUGGGUCUUAACUGACGCUGAGGCACGAAAGCGUGGGGAGCAAACAGGAUUAGAUACCCUGGUAGUCCACGCCGUAAACGAUGAGUACUAAGUGUUGGGUUAAACCAGUGCUGAAGUUAACGCAUUAAGUACUCCGCCUGAGUAGUACGUACGCAAGUAUGAAACUUAAAGGAAUUGACGGGACUCCGCACAAGCGGUGGAUCAUGUUGUUUAAUUCGAAGAUACACGAAAAACCUUACCAGGUCUUGACAUACUCUGCAAAGCUAUAGAAAUAUAGUGGAGGUUAUCAGGGAUACAGGUGGUGCAUGGUUGUCGUCAGCUCGUGUCGUGAGAUGUUGGGUUAAGUCCCGCAACGAGCGCAACCCUUAUCGCUAGUUACCAUCAUUUAGUUGGGCACUUUAGUGAGACUGCCAAUGAUAAAUUGGAGGAAGGUGGGGAUUACGUCAAAUCAUCAUGCCCCUUAUGACCUGGGCUACAAACGUGAUACAAUGGCUGUUACAAAGAGUAGCUGAAGCGUGAGUUUUUAGCAAAUCUCAAAAAAACAGUCUCAGUUCGGAUUGAAGUCUGCAACUCGACUUCAUGAAGUCGGAAUCGCUAGUAAUCGCGAAUCAGCAUGUCGUGGUGAAUACGUUCUCGGGGUUUGUACACACCGCCCGUCAAACCAUGAAAG